rnacentral:rRNA from 1 species
ACGAACGCUGGCGGCGUGCUUAACACAUGCCAGUCGAACGGAAAGGCCCUGCUUUUGUGGGGUGCUCGAGUGGCGAACGGGGGAGUAACACGUGAGUAACCUGCCCUUGACUUUGGGAUAACUUCAGGAAACUGGGGCUAAUACCGGAUAGGAGCUCCUGCUGCAUGGUGGGGGUUGGAAAGUUUCGGCGGUUGGGGAUGGACUCGCGGCUUAUCAGCUUGUUGGUGGGGUAGUGGCUUACCAAGGCUUUGACGGGUAGCCGGCCUGAGAGGGUGACCGGCCACAUUGGGACUGAGAUACGGCCCAGACUCCUACGGGAGGCAGCAGUGGGGAAUAUUGCACAAUGGGCGGAAGCCUGAUGCAGCAACGCCGCGUGCGGGAUGACGGCCUUCGGGUUGUAAACCGCUUUCGCCUGUGACGAAGCGUGAGUGACGGUAAUGGGUAAAGAAGCACCGGCUAACUACGUG